GGAAGUAAAAGACGUAACAAGGUUUCCGUAGGUGAACCUGCGGAAGGAUCAUUAUUGUAUAACCGAGGUGCGAGGGCUAUCGCUGACCCGAAAGGUCGUGCACGCCCGAGUGCCCUCACACACAUCCAUCUCACCCCUAUGUGCACCACCGCGUGGGUCCCCCUUUGGCUUGUUCGGAGGGGGGCUUACGUUUUCACACAAACUUUGUAUGCAGUGUAGAAUGUAUUUUUUGUUUUUGCGAUCACGCAAUCAAUACAACUUUCAACAACGGAUCUCUUGGCUCUC
rnacentral:misc_RNA from 1 species